UACAAAUAGGAUGGUGUUCUUGAUAGUUCA
rnacentral:piRNA from 2 species